rnacentral:rRNA from 1 species
CCUACGGGAGGCAGCAGUGGGGAAUCUUGCGCAAUGGGCGAAAGCCUGACGCAGCAACGCCGCGUGCGGGAAGAAGGCUUUCGGGCUGUAAACCGCUUUCAGCAGGAACGAAAAUGACGGUACCUGCAGAAGAAGGAGCGGCCAACUAUGUGCCAGCAGCCGCGGUGAUACAUAGGCUUCAAGCGUUGUCCGGAUUUAUUGGGCGUAAAGAGUUCGUAGGCGGUCGAGUAAGUCGGGUGUGAAAAUUCUGGGCUCAACCCAGAGACGCCACCCGAUACUGCUUAACUUGAGUUCGAUAGGGGAGUGGGGAAUUCCUAGUGUAGCGGUGAAAUGCGCAGAUAUUAGGAGGAACACCGGUGGCGAAGGCGCCACUCUGGAUCGAUACUGACGCUGAGGAACGAAAGCAUGGGUAGCAAACAGGAUUAGAUACCCUGGUAGUCCAUGCCGUAAACGGUGGGCACUAGGUGUGGGAUUCUAUUAACGAAUUCCGCGCCGUCGCUAACGCAUUAAGUGCCCCGCCUGGGGAGUACGGUCGCAAGCUAAAACUCAAAGGAAUUGACGGCNGAGAGNGCGAGACGACACGAGGAGAG